rnacentral:lncRNA from 1 species
CGGGGCUGCCCUAAAUCCCCACCGCAGCCCCCGGAUCCCGACCUCCUGCUGCCCCGGCCGAGCUCGCCUGCCGGGCUCCCUGCUUUCCACCGAGGAGGUAGCAGGGGGGUGAGAAAAAAAGGACUACGAGGAAAUCUACUUCCCGGCGAGAGAGCCUUGAGUUCUGCAUUUCAACCUCAGGGCAACGUGGGCAGGGCCGGGCUGGGCCGGGAGCCGCAGCCCCCCGCUCCCGAGCCCGCCCCCGGGGGCGGCCCGGCGGCCCUGCAGCCCCACCAGUGGCCGCAGGAGAUGACGGACAGCGCGGGGCCGGCGGCUCUUCCGCUGCCUCUCGCGGUCCUGCUCAGCACCUGGUCCCUACCACAACAGCAACGCCCGCGUAAUACCUGCCAGGCGACUCCCAAAGACCCAGGUCCUGUAAGGGAAUUAAAACGUGAAAGGGAAUAACACUGUGACGGCAGCGCAUGGAAUAUCGGCGAGUGAAAUACGGAUCUCUGGUCACUAUGUUCGUCUGCCUUUGAGGACACAAACCUGGAAACUUCCCACUGAUCUGUGGACAAACAAUGCCUUCCAGCCAGCCACAGUGCAUUCAAGUGUCUGGAAGUCCUCUCAGACACAGUGCUGUGUUAAAGCCACCAGAUGAUCUGCUGAGACUUGAGUGAAGCUUUUCUGGGGACAGCUUCCACUGGCUGCAGGCUGUCACCAUUGAAUACAAUGGAUGCAGAGAGAGGGAAAACCUUUGUCUGCAAAGCACAAACAGGGAGUGCCCCAGAAGGCUGCCUCUCUGCUUCUUGCUGAAACUCCGUGUUGCUGCCAUGCCCUGGUGAUGUCAUGCCCUGGUGGUGCCAUGCACUGAUGGCUCCAGCUGUGGGCAGAACUCAGUUGUCCCAGCUGAUCCCAGCUGUCAGCGAACUGGGAGCUGCUGGCACACCUUGCAUUUCCCACACACUGCCCAGCGCCUGCACAGUCAAGCCCGGGUUUCUGAGUAUUCUCAUUCUGGGCUUAAUUGCCCUUUCGUGCAUCAAGUAAUGUCUUACUUGGCAGUAAUUCUCAUUCAGUCUUAGUCAUGAGGAUGGAAUUAGUCCUACAGCAGUAGAGAUAAUAGCUCUUCAGCCUAAGUCCUUUCCAACACUCCAACACUCCCUGUACUCUCUCCUCAUGACAAAAGCAAACAGAAGUUCCCAGGAAAGCAACAGCCAGUUCAGAGGGACCUGUCUCCUCACUGAUUUGACAGAGAGCACAGGAUUGUGCCAGGGAGUGCUUGCUCCAGGACCGUAGAUAGAGCUAAAGCCUAUCUUGUUGAUAUACUGAAGUACUAGGAAUCAUAGAAAGAUAGAAUGGCUUAGUUUGGAAGGGACCUUAAGAAUCAUCCGCUUCUAACCCCCUUGCCCCCCACCAGAUCAGGCUGCCCAGGGCCCCAUUGAACCUGGCCUUGAACACCUCCAGGAAUGGGACACUGAAGACACUGACUUUUAUGCAACGGAGAACUAAACACUU